CUGUUCCUGCCUGAUUCGCGGACCGUGUUAUAUAACCCUACAAACUUAUGAUAGGGAGCUUUGCUCUCUAGGUGAAUUGCAGACCUCCCGUUUUUUCGGACGAAGGGAGCGUGAAGCCUAUAGGCGGGCACCCACCUGCUUUCUGGUAGGCAGGUUAUCAUAAACACGUUACGGUCAGGCGGGUUUUUA
rnacentral:other from 1 species